AUGAACGCUAGCGGCAGGCUUAAUACAUGCAAGUCGAGGGGCAGCGGGGUAGCAAUACUGCCGGCGACCGGCAAACGGGUGCGGAACACGUACAGAACCUUCCUUUAAGUGGGGAAUAGCCCAGAGAAAUUUGGAUUAAUACCUCGUAACAUUAUGUAGUGGCAUCAUUAUAUAAUUAUAGAUUUAUCGCUUAAAGAUGGCUGUGCGGCUGAUUAGGUAGUCGGCGGAGUAAUAGCCCACCAAGCCUGCGAUCAGUAACUGGUGUGAGAGCACGACCAGUCACACGGGCACUGAGACACGGGCCCGACUCCUACGGGAGGCAGCAGUAAGGAAUAUUGGUCAAUGGACGCAAGUCUGAACCAGCCAUGCCGCGUGAAGGAUGAAGGUCCUCAGGAUUGUAAACUUCUUUUAUCUGGGACGAAAAAAGGCCAUUCUUGGUCGACUGACGGUACCAGAGGAAUAAGCACCGGCUAACUCCGU
rnacentral:rRNA from 1 species